UACGGAGGGAGCUAGCGUUGUUCGGAAUUACUGGGCGUAAAGCGUGCGCAGGCGGUUGUGCAAGACAGAUGUGAAAUCCCCGGGCUCAACCUGGGAAUUGCAUUUGUGACUGCACGGCUAGAGUGUGUCAGAGGGGGGUAGAAUUCCACGUGUAGCAGUGAAAUGCGUAGAUAUGUGGAGGAAUACCGAUGGCGAAGGCAGCCCCCCUGGGAUAACACUGACGCUCAUGCACGAAAGCGUGGGGAGCAAACAGG
rnacentral:rRNA from 1 species